AUGGUUCUCUGGAAAAGGGGCCCCUGGACAGACCACUCCCAUCACGAGGUGCCACCCUUUCUCCUGCCUUGGCCUGUGGCCCACGGGAGUCUGAAUCCCAGAUCUGGAUGGGAGCUGCCGGGGAAGUGCCCUGGUGGAGGCGGUGGCUCCCGGAGGGGACAGCCCUGGGUGUGGGAGGCGGCCCACGGGCUGCCAGGCCUGUGCCGGCCCGGGUGUGGGACCUCCUGCAGCUGCCCCGCCCAGGCCCCGCCUGAGUGGAGUUAUAUAAAGGGCCUUUAUGAGCUGGGAGCGGGUGUGAUCCGCCCCGGGAGAACACACAGUCCAUUGUUGGCGGGCCCUUGUGGGCUCCCAGCGCAAUCUGUCUGUUUUGGGUGCUCCUCACCCCGUCGGUCUCCGCAGGCAGCGUCGCUGAGGGCUUCCACGUGGCAGCCCGCAGACAGCAGAACUCCAGCCCUUCGGGAGGCCUUUCCCACGCCAGGCCCCGAGCUGACAUUACGUGGUCCACAGCACAGCGAGCACGUAUGUUCUCAUCAGUCACGUGUGUGUGGAAACCGAGUGCAGGCACUUUCUCAAUGGAGGGUUUUUACCUGGACAGACUUGAAACUUGCGGGGAAGACCAGGGCUCUCUGCUGACCUCUGAGCAGAGGGGGCUCGGAAGGUAAGCGGAUGUGUCCCGGACUCUGAGUGCCCGGAGCAAGCCCAGCACACAGGAAGCUGGUCGCUGGGCUAAGGGACCCUGACCAGCAGCUCCUCCUGGCUGGCCCUCUUGUACGCUGGUCUAGCCUUGUUUUCCCUUUCAGGACAGCGAAAUGGAAGGCACUUUUGAAGAAUCCCAUCACACACACAAGCUGGAUUGAGCGCAUUAACGUUGCAGCCCUCAGCUGCCCCCAGAUUCCAGGGACAGGGGCAGGGGACAGUCAGGUCAGAAAGGGCUUCUGAUCCCAAGGACCUCACCCCAGGGAGCUUCUGCUUCCAGUCCCAGCCACCACCUUCCUCCCUGUCCCACAGGAAAGUUGCUGCCCGCUGUGGCCCCUGGAGGGACAGCCAGGACCCGGUGGAGGCAUCCAGCUCCAGAGCUCACCUGGGACUCUGAUCCUGGGUGGCAGGACUCCAGCCUUCUCCGUCCCUGUCCCUUCCUGGCCUGCUGUCUUGGACAGAGGUGGCAGGGCUGGGCUCCCUCCAGGGGGCAGAAGGACAGGGGCUCAGCCCGUACCCAGGCGUCGGGGCCCCGGUGGCCUUGGCCGGGCUUCUGGAAAUCUCUCCCGGGAGCAGCACUCCUCCUCACACGGAUGAAGCCAGGAGACUGAUUUUGUGUCUGUUUUCCUCGAGCCCUUGGUGUGUUUGCACAGCCACAAAAAGCCCCUUGUCAAUUACUUCACUCCUUGCAAACCCUGGGUGCAGGCUUCAAAAUCGCCCAAGGAUCUUUUCAUCAGGUCAAAGGAAAAGCAUGCUAUUUCGGUCUAGGAACACAUCUCUCUGAGCUGCAGAAUUCACGUCACGUAACAAGCACACUGCCUGGGGUAGGGUAGGAGUGUAAGUGGUUUUUUGAUUAUUUUUCUUGUAGUGUAUUUUUCAGUAAAUACACUUUCAAGUCACACCUGAGCAGCCGUAACUUGCUACUCACAGGCUAAGUCCAGAAGCAUUUUUUUAAGAAUUGCACAAGACCAGUGUUUUGGAAGAGGUUUUGCCUGUGUGGGGGGCAGGAGCUGUGCAUGGAGCUGGCAGCAGAGAUGUGAACUUCCGCCCCCAGCACUGACAGCCGGGCUCCAUGGGGCCUGAGUUUCAGGGCCCAUCCAACCCUGAGCUGUGUCCUGUGGACCAGACGGCCCUGUGGGUCAGCAAGCUCUCUUCCCAGCCAGGGGGAGCCCUGUGACCGGGCCCAGCACCGCUCUGGGUGAAUCCACAGGGGACAGGAGCUCCUGUCACCCCCAUGUGGGUCUCGUCAGCGUGGGCCGGCUGCUUGGAGAGGUGGGCGUGUGUCACAGUGUGAGCCAGCAUCUAUGGGUGUGCACGGCCUCACAAGGCUGCCUGAGAGCAGCUGGUCAGUGCCCCUCUCUCCUCUGGGGACGUCUUCCAAGAAGUUCUGGCGAUGCCUGAGGGCCAGUGCUGUGCUCUUUCUUGUGCGUUCAAAUUCACCGUAAAGUUCAUGCUGCAAAUCAGGCGCAGUAAGAGAUCAACAAGGAUAAACCCUAAUAAAG
rnacentral:lncRNA from 1 species